rnacentral:rRNA from 1 species
AUUGAACGCUGGCGGCAUGCCUUACACAUGCAAGUCGAACGGUAACAGGUUAAGCUGACGAGUGGCGAACGGGUGAGUAAUGUAUCGGAACGUGCCCAGUCGUGGGGGAUAACUGCUCGAAAGAGCAGCUAAUACCGCAUACGACCUGAGGGUGAAAGCGGGGGAUCGCAAGACCUCGCGCGAUUGGAGCGGCCGAUAUCAGAUUAGGUAGUUGGUGAGGUAAAGGCUCACCAAGCCGACGAUCUGUAGCUGGUCUGAGAGGACGACCAGCCACACUGGGACUGAGACCCGGCCCAGACCCCUACGGGAGGCAGCAGGGGGGAAUUUUGGAAAAGGGGCGGAAGCCUGAUCCAGCCAUGCCGGGUGGGGGAAGAAGGCCUUCGGGUUGUAAACCGCUUUUGUCAGGGAAAAAAAGGUUCUGGCUAAAACCUGGGACUCAUGACGGUACCGGAAGAAUAAGCCCCGGCUAACUACGU